GAAUCUGUUGAGUUCAUCUAUAAAAAUCAAUAGCUAAAGUUUUACAUCUCCUUUCGUUUGGCAUGAAUAACCAAACUAUUCCUGGCUGAUUCGCACCAGUUAUUCAUUAGUUUAGUUCAUUGUUUAUCACCGAAUCAGCCAGGAAUCGUUUGAUUAUUCUCGUCCCAAACAGUUAUUUGGAUUCUUCUCCUGAUUUUUUUAUUUUGGAUUUUUCGUUUGUUUUGGGUUUGAAGUUAAAUUUUAAUAGAGUAGUGAAGUUGAUUACUCUGCUGCUUGAAUUUGCUUGUUUGCAUAUUUGUUAGAACGUAAAUGUUUGAUCAUUUGCCUCAAUGAAAAUCGAACCUUGUUUAACUAGGUAAUUUUUAUAUUCCUGUUAAACCCAAGUUCUUUGUUUUAAUUAAUCUCAAUUUUCGAAAUUUUGAAUCUUUGGUCAUUAGUUUCUAGUUAAGUAAAGCCUUCUCUUUUGAAUGAAAUCCUUAAGAUAUGUUCUAGUUUCCUGUUUGUGUUGUUUAUGUUGCUUUGCCUUAUGUUAUAAAAAGUUAGAAGAUUUAAAACCAUAGUGGCAUUGCUUUAGGGGUUCAGCACUUGAGGCUCUAUAAGAUGCUUAAUUCACAUUUCAUGCAAGCAUUUGCAUUUUUUUCUUGUUAUGUUGCUGAUAAUGGAAUGGAUAGGAAAUGUGGUCAUUGGAAUACAAUAAUUUUAUAUGCAAUUAUAGAUAUUGGGAUUCAAAUCCGAGAUCUGCUGCCCUAUGCAUGAUAUGAGAUUUCCCUAUGUGGUCAUUGGAAAUCUUGGGUUUUACAGUAUGAGAUUUAACUGUAGUUGAUCACACAUCUUUCAACUAUAUUGUUUGCAUAAUAUAAGUUAUAUACAUACACACACUCACAAAAGAGAUCAUAUUCUAAGAGAAGAGAUUACAGGUACAGGGAUUCAAACUUGAGAUCUGCUGAAUGUCAUCAUGUAAAACACGAAUCAAUUGAGUUAGAACACCGGAUUUCACGAUAAGAUAUUUAACUGCAGUUCUUGAUUAUGCACCUCUCAACUCUUUGCUCUGCAUAUUAUUACUCCUAAGAAACCUUUGCUUGACCUUGUUCCAAAGUUUGGCAGCAAAUCCUCUGGUAACUUCCUUUGUUCUCCUGUUUCUCUGCAAAAAAUUGAACCUUGUUUGAAUAUUUGGGUUUUCAUCUUCGAUGUCGCUGUUUCAUCCUUGGAUGUUGUUGGUCUAGUAAAACCUUCCAUGAAAUGGCAUAAUGUUAUUGAAAAAGUGUUUACUCUGCUUACAGAGCUUAUUGAGAUGCUUACAUAUAAUUCUUGCUUUCUCCUUACUUUGUCAUUCGAACUGCAUGGUUUAUUUACGAAUGAAUGUUGUUUUUCACUUCUUUCGUUUUCAUGUAAUUUCAGGCUUUGCUGCCUUUUGCAUGCUUAUUUUGAGGAUGAUGUAGGUGAUUGUGGUUGUUUUUGUCUUCUUCUUUUCCCCUUACAGUUACUGUUUGAGCUAUUUUGGGUGGUACAUAGUAAUGAAGUCAUCAAUUUGCCUUUUUUUCUAAAUAUUGAGAAUGUUUAUGGGUUUUAGUUUAUCUUUCUUUUGCUUCCAAAAAAUAUUCCCUGUAUGUUUUGUUUAGCCUCAAGUUUGCUUCUAUUUGUGUUUAGGCACUGCAAUUUUGAUCUUUUUUUAUAUCUUAGGGAAGGUUGUUGAACUAUGGAAUAUAAAUCAUUGCAAUCGACUGAACAAGAAAAACCAUUCAUCAGCAACAAUGAUAUUUUAGAAGAAUUUCAUGCAAAAUUGCAGUCUAGUUGCUUAAAAGGAAGAUAAGGACACAAGUUAUUGUAGUCCACACCUUUCGCCUUUGAUAUUGAAUAGUAUAAGUUACUGAUCAAAUAUAUUAAUAAUGUCGUUGAUUGAGUUGAUAUCAUAAAUUAACUUGGGACACUAACUUAAAAUUGAUGACACUAUCAUGAUCAAUAAUU
rnacentral:lncRNA from 1 species